rnacentral:rRNA from 1 species
CAGCCGCCGCGGUAAUACGAAGGGUGCAAGCGUUACUCGGAAUUACUGGGCGUAAAGCGUGCGUAGGCGGUUUGUUAAGUCUGCUGUGAAAUCCCCGGGCUCAACCUGGGAAUGGCAGUGGAUACUGGCAAGCUAGAGUGUGUCAGAGGAUGGUGGAAUUCCCGGUGUAGCGGUGAAAUGCGUAGAGAUCGGGAGGAACAUCAGUGGCGAAGGCGGCCAUCUGGGACAACACUGACGCUGAGGCACGAAAGCGUGGGGAGCAAACAGGAUUAGAUACCCGGGUAGUCCCUGUCUCUUAUAC